rnacentral:lncRNA from 1 species
CAUCUCUGUGAUCUUACCACCUCCUCCUCCUCUUCGGUCUUAAAGAACAUAUCUGGCCACACAGGGCAUUUCCAUGGAUAUCCCCAGCCCGCUCUCCCUAGCGUGCUUUUCUGGAUUUCUCUCCUUCACCGUCUCCACCUGUCUGACCUGUAUGCUACUUCAUUCACGCUUCCUACCCGUGAGACCCAAUCUGCCACCCCGCUACGUUCAUAUAGAACAUUGUUGGCUCCCAUUCUGUAUCUAUAUCAUGUGACAUUUAAAGGCUCUAUUAGCUUGACGUUUGCUUAUUUACAUAGUUAAGGUGUAAUGCAAUUUAAAAUAUUCUUGCAAAUAUAAAGGACGUAUAUUCCAGAGGCUGACAUUUGUUCUUUCACCUGAUUAAAAAUACAGAUGUUCUUCAAACCAGCAAUCAAAGGAGUCUUAACGUUCAGGCGUUGCAUGAACUGGGAAAUCUUCUCGUCUUCGCACAAAAGAAAAGGGAUGCUUUUAAAUGCUGGCGUCAAGCUCUUGACAGCAUAUUCAGGAAAGAAGACGUGCUCCGUACAUGGAAGGAGUUUGGCGCCUCCCUCACCCAUGCCACCCACAGCUCUUCACCUCCGGUUUCCAAAGACUACAGUGAGGAGUUUCUGGCGAAAGUUGGCAUUUGGGGAUGUUUGCAAGGAGCGGUGAUAUCUGCAAAGAUUGCACAGUGAGUGUGACUGUGGUGUGAUCUGUGUAAGAGCUGUCGCCUCCCUUUGUGGGCUGCCCACCUGUGCAACGUGGAGCGCCACGCCCCACAUGCGCGGUUCUUGGGCAGCUGUGUCCAUGCCAUAUGGGGUUAUAUGGUUUACUUAUUUGUGAUGUUUUUUGUUUAUGGCCACCUCCCCUUCCUAUAACACCUCCCGGCCCUGGGAUGUGAGCACCACGUGGGCACAGGUCCUUGCUUUGUUCUCCAGUGUAUCUGAGCGCCGGGCGUGGAGAUGGGAUUCAAUAAUUACUUGUUGAAUGAACAAAUACGUGGAUGAACAGUGGAUACAUGAGCAAGAAUAACAGCGUGGGGGCAGGCCGAUGGCUUGGACCGAAUGUCAGAGCCUGUUGAUAACUCUGGGGCCCUCGGCCUCUCAUUCACUCUCUCCUCCAUCCUACGCCACCACCACAGCAAUG